UGCACUUACUUUUCUUUUCUUAUAUUAUAUAUAUAGAUACACACAAUUCUGUCCCUAAUUAGCCCUCCCACACAAUAGCUAAACGCCUAGUUCCACUGCUGAAAAUAGAGACUUACAGCUGGAGGCUGAAAGGUUGGACGUCCUCUGAGCAUUAAUCUCACUGGUUGGGUGGCAUCAGCAGGUGGAAUCUUUAAGAUUUGGAAUCUUUUAUUUUAGGGUUUAGGGUUGAGGGAGAGAGAGGGAGAUACAUUGGUGCAGAAAACAUGAAUGUGGUCCAUACAAAUGGACCAAACUACCUUCCCUUGAUCAUGGACAGGGGUUUUGUUGGUGUAUUGCAUGAUUGGUGUGAAGCCUUUCCAACGUAUCCUAGAACUUAUGACUUGGUGCAUGCAGCCGGACUGCUAUCCCUUGAAAAUGUCCAGUAGCGCCGUUGCACCACACUUGAUCUGUUCACUGAGAUUGAUCGAAUACUUUGUCCAGAGGUGCAUUUAGAUGGUACUCCUAACAAUUUAGAAGAAAGUGAUUUCUGUGAUUUUAGCUUUCUGGACAGAGGGCUUUUCAGUUCAGAUAUUUCUGUUUGUGUAAGUUUGCUGCAUACAUGAAGAUACUUGGUAUUUUAUGCUUUAAACUUUAGUCCAAGUUGUCUUUUAUUUUAUAAAUAUUGUGAGGGAAGUCAAUUGGAAAUAAC